GAGUUUGAUCGUGGCUCAGGACGAACGCUGGCGGCGUGCUUAACACAUGCAAGUCGAACGAUGAAGCCCUUCGGGGUGGAUUAGUGGCGAACGGGUGAGUAACACGUGGGCAAUCUGCCCUGCACUCUGGGACAAGCCCUGGAAACGGGGUCUAAUACCGGAUAGCACUCUUUCCUGCAUGGGGGAAGGGUUGAAAGCUCCGGCGGUGCAGGAUGAGCCCGCGGCCUAUCAGCUUGUUGGUGGGGUGAUGGCCUACCAAGGCGACGACGGGUAGCCGGCCUGAGAGGGCGACCGGCCACACUGGGACUGAGACACGGCCCAAACUCCUACGGGAGGCAGCAGUGGGGAAUAUUGGACAAUGGGCGCAAGCCUGAUCCAGCCAUGCCGCGUGAGUGAUGAAGGCCCUAGGGUUGUAAAGCUCUUUCACCGGUGAAGAUAAUGACGGUAACCGGAGAAGAAGCCCCGGCUAACUUCGUGCCAGCAGCCGCCGCCGUAAU
rnacentral:rRNA from 1 species